AUGACCACAUCACAUUGAAACACAGCUUCCUAAUAUGAUCACUGAAGUUAAGCAAUAUUGAGCCAAGUCAGUAGCUAGAUGGGUGUCCGCUUGAGAAUACCCAGUGCUGUAAG